rnacentral:rRNA from 1 species
UACGUAGGUGGCAAGCGUUGUCCGGAAUUAUUGGGCGUAAAGGGCGCGUAGGCGGCCUGGCAAGUGGAAGGUGAAAUCCCUCGGCUUAACCGAGGAACUGCCCUCCAAACUGCUUGGCUUGAGUCCGGGAGAGGUGAGUGGAAUUCCCAGUGUAGCGGUGAAAUGCGUAGAUAUUGGGAGGAACACCAGUGGCGAAGGCGGCUCACUGGACCGGAACUGACGCUGAGGCGCGAAAGCGUGGGGAGCAAACGGG